rnacentral:rRNA from 1 species
GAUGAACGCUGGCGGCGUGCCUAAUACAUGCAAGUCGAGCGGACAGACGAGGCUCUUGCGCGUCUGACGUGAGGGGCGGGCGGGUGAGUAACACGUGGAUACCCUACCUAUAAGACUGAGAUCACUACGGGAAACCGGAUAUAACACCGGAUAAGAUAUUGAACCGCAGGGGUCAUUGGAGAAAGACGGCUGUGCUGUCUCUAAUAGAUGUAUCCGAGCCGCAUUAGCUAGUUGGUAAGGUAACGGCUUACCAAGGCAACGAUGCGUGACCGACCGGAGAGGCUGAUCGGCCACACUGGAACUGAGACACGGUCCAGACUCCUACGGGAGGCAGCAGUAGGGAAUCUUCCGCAAUGGGCGAAAGCCUGACGGAGCAACGCCGCGUGUGUGAUGAAGGUCUUCGGAUCGUAAAGCUCUGUUACUAGGGAAGAACAAAUGUGGAAGUAACUAUGGACGUCUUGACGGUACCUAAUCAGAAAGCCACGGCUAACUACGUG